rnacentral:rRNA from 1 species
UACAGAGACUGCAAGCGUUAUUCGGAUUCACUGGGCGUAAAGGGUGCGCAGGCGGUUGGGUGUGUCAGAUGUGAAAUCCCGAGGCUCAACCUCGGAACUGCGUCUGAAACUACUCGACUAGAGUAUUGGAGAGGGUAACGGAAUUCACGGUGUAGCAGUGAAAUGCGUAGAUAUCGUGAGGAACACCAGAGGCGAAGGCGGUUACCUGGACAAUUACUGACGCUCAGGCACGAAAGCAUGGGGAGCAAAAGGG